rnacentral:rRNA from 1 species
AGAGUUUGAUCCUGGCUCAGAACGAACGCAUGGCGGCAUGCUUAACACAUGCAAGUCGAACGUGAAGCAGGCUUCGGCCUGUGGAAAGUGGCGCACGGGUGAGUAACACGUGGGAACCUACCCUAGAAUGGGGGACAACCGCUGGAAACGGCGGCUAAUACCGCAUACGCCCUACGGGGGAAAGGCUUCGGCCGUUCUUGGAUGGUCCCGCGCCCGAUUAGUUUGUUGGUGAGGUAACGGCUCACCAAGGCGACGAUCGGUAGCUGGUCUGAGAGGAUGAUCAGCCACACUGGGACUGAGACACGGCCCAGACUCCUACGGGAGGCAGCAGUGGGGAAUAUUGGACAAUGGGGGAAACCCUGAUCCAGCAAUGCCGCGUGAGUGAUGAAGGCCCUAGGGUUGUAAAGCUCUUUCGGCGGGGAAGAUGAUGACGGUACCCGCAGAAGAAGCCCCGGCUAACUCCGUGCCAGCAGCCGCGGUAAUACGGAGGGGGCUAGCGCUGUUCGGAAUUACUGGGCGUAAAGGGCGCGUAGGCGGUUUGCCAAGUCAGACGUGAAAGCCCCGGGCUCAACCUGGGAACUGCGUUUGAAACGGGUAGACUAGAGUCCGGGAGAGGAGAGCGGAAUUCCCAGUGUAGAGGUGAAAUUC